GCCACAUGAAACAUUUUUGCUGAAGCUGCUGCUAAGUCGCUUCAGUUGUGUUCGACUUUGUGCAACCCCAUAGACGGCAGCCCACCAGGCUCCCCCGUCCCUGGGAUUCUCCAGGCAAGAACACUGGAGUGGGUUGCCAUUUCCUUCUGCAAUGCAGGAAAGUGAAAAGUGAAAGUGAAGUCGCUCAGUCGUGUCCGACUCUUAGUCACCCCAUGGACUGCAGUCUACCAGGCUCCUCUGUCCAUCUGAUUUUCCAGAAAGAAAUAACCCGUGCAUGGAAGUGACUGUACGAAAAUACGAUUCUCAUAGCUGAGCCAGCUGUCUUGCAGUCACAUGGACAGAAGCUGCAGCAUUAAAGCCGAAGAGCUGGAAACUCAGUCCCACCUAACACAAAAGCCACUUGACCGCUUCUUCCCGCUGUUGCUCACAGUGCAGAAUGAUGGAAUAAUCCGACUGGGUCAGCUUUGCCAAGGUUUGUUUCUCAUCUUUCACUCAGGUACAAGAAACAGCUUACGUUCCUCUUCUGAAUUCUGGGUGAAGCUGGUGGGCAUGGGACAGCUGUGCCCUCUAGACUGGCCCAGGCGGAAAUUUCUCUUCAGGUUUUUACAAGAGGGCAGACAGACUGAAAACCACAAUCACAGGAAACUAACCAUUCAGAUAGAGUGCCUGAUGAACUAUGGAUGGAGGUUCAUGACAUUGUACAGCAGACAGGGAUCAAGACCGUCCCCAUGAAAAAGAAAUGCAAAAAAGCAAAAUGGCUGUCUGGGGAGGCCUUACAAAUAGCUGUGAAAAGAAGAGAAGCAAAAAGCAGAGGAGAAAAGAAAAGAUAUAAGCUUCUGAAUGCAGAGUUCCAAAGAAUAGCAAGAAGAGAUAAGAAAGCCUUCCUCAGUGAUCAGUGCAAAGAAAUAGAGGAAAACAACAGAAUGGGAAAGACUAGAGAUCUCUUCAAGAAAAUUGGAGAUACCAAGGGAACAUUUCAUGCACAGAUGGGCUCGAUAAAGGACAGAAAUGGUAUGGACCCAAC
ensembl:lncRNA